GGGCGUGUAGCUCAGCUGGCAGAGCAGUUGACUCUUAAUCAAUUGGUCGAGGGUUCGAUUCCUUCCACGCCCACCA
rnacentral:tRNA from 1 species